rnacentral:lncRNA from 1 species
CAUCCUCCAAAUAUUGUGUACCUUAAUCAUCAUCCAGUUCGUAUUAAAUAAUUAAUCCUAAUGCAGUCAAACAUAUUUUAAUGCAUGAACAACAUGAAUGUUUUUAUUUGGAAGCAUAAAUAAUUGAGACAAAGAACAUCAUAAACAUGAUUUGAACAAACUGAAUCAAGAAAUUGCAAUCAUCCUAGCUGAAACAAAUUAAGUCAUUAUCAUUAAUGAAAAACAAUCAAAUAAUUUGCACACAUGUUUAUAAACUAAGAACAAUUUAAAGAGAAAGGAAUAAGAAGCUUUGAGAUGAAUUCGGUGAUUUCCCAAGAACUAUCCGUGAUGGAUUCCUCUGAUUUUUGUCGUUACUCCAAUGCAAGUUAUUCCUCAAAGUGGUCAGCCAAGAGAGCUUUCCUCUCACAAACUACCUACUAGGGGAACUCUCAAAGAGAGAAUGGGAAAAAUGAAAGGAAAUGGAAGGCUUAGGCGUGGGAGAGAAAGGAGAAUGAAG